rnacentral:sRNA from 1 species
GAUAUAGAUGUGUGUGUGUGUUGAGUGUGAUGAUAUGGAUGAGUUAGUUCUUCAUGUGCCCAUCUUCACCAUC